GGGCGCUAAUACCGCAUACGUCCUGAGGGAGAAAGUGGGGGAUCUUCGGACCUCACGCUAUCAGAUGAGCCUAGGUCGGAUUAGCUAGUUGGUGGGGUAAAGGCCUACCAAGGCGACGAUCCGUAACUGGUCUGAGAGGAUGAUCAGUCACACUGGAACUGAGACACGGUCCAGACUCCUACGGGAGGCAGCAGUGGGGAAUAUUGGACAAUGGGCGAAAGCCUGAUCCAGCCAUGCCGCGUGUGUGAAGAAGGUCUUCGGAUUGUAAAGCACUUUAAGUUGGGAGGAAGGGCAGUAAGUUAAUACCUUGCUGUUUUGACGUUACCAACAGAAUAAGCACCGGCUAACUUCGUGCCAGCAGCCGCGGUAAUACGAAGGGUGCAAGCGUUAAUCGGAAUUACUGGGCGUAAAGCGCGCGUAGGUGGUUCAGCAAGUUGGAUGUGAAAUCCCCGGGCUCAACCUGGGAACUGCAUCCAAAACUACUGAGCUAGAGUACGGUAGAGGGUGGUGGAAUUU
rnacentral:rRNA from 1 species